rnacentral:rRNA from 1 species
ACGUAGGUGGCAAGCGUUGUCCGGAAUUAUUGGGUGUAAAGCGCGCGCAGGUGGUUAUAUAAGUCUGAUUUUAAAGUUCGGGGCUCAACCCCGAGAUGGCUGGGAAACUGUAUGACUUGAGUACGGUAGAGGGAAGCGGAAUUCCCGGUGUAGCGGUGAAAUGCGUAGAUAUUGGGAGGAACACCAGUGGCGAAGGCGGCUUACUGGGUUGGAACUGACACUGAGGCGCGAAAGCUAGGGGAGCAAACGG